AUUUUAUUCAGUAAAGAUAGAGUAAUUAAUGGACUUGGGAAACGCCUCUGAUUGGCAUUCCAGGGAAAUGUUCUGUGCAAGUGCGGCACCAACUAAUUGAUUUUGUAUCCAAAUCAUUGGCGGAACUGUAAAAGGAUAAAAGGAGGAAUAACAGCAAAGCUCGUAAAGUAUGCGUAAAAAGAACAAAGAGCAAGGAUGGGAGUUAACUGAGUACCGGAGAACGACGUUUAAUGGCGGAAUGUAAUUGUAAUGGCAGGUCAGACGGGAGAAGGCAGAAAUGGAACCUCAGCACGUUUCAAAUACAAUUUACAAUAAAUAAAAUUUAAAAGCGAGAAAAAAUGCUGCGACAACAGCGCAGCUCAGCGCCAGAGAAUACAGCGCAGAAAACUGAAGACAGACACCGACACCGACUCCUAAUGGCAACACUCGCUGGCAGCACUAUGAAACAGGGGCAAGAAAUGAGCACGUGACGCUUGGGAUAAGUAAAACGAUACGAGAACACGUUAGCACAAAUUUCAAUUGACCACACCGAAGCUUGAAUGCUCUAAGAAAAGCAUUUUUCCUUGUGCGCCAGACAAACAUAAAUUUGUAAAGAUUAAUUUAUACAUAAAAUAUUUUUAAAUAUAGACAAACAUAAUACAAAAAAUAUGUUUAAAUUUAAGGAAAGUGAAUGUGUAA